ACGACGGGGCAACAGAUCGGCAGCCUGCGGCCCGCUGACCCCAACCCCUGCCGCCCGGACCUCAGUCCAGUUCAUGUUAAUUACCCGAAGCUUGGCGAGUUGUGGUGGUUAAUAAUUCCAUUUGCUUUGACGACACUAGAUCAUUAGUCACCGGAUGUUAAGCUCGCUCUGUAGUGUUGCUUACAAUAUUUCCUCAAUUUCCAUUGGUGGGAAUUUUGAGUGAGAAUGAUCCACAUGAUUGACAAGAACAGGGAAUGAUUAGCUUCAAGCACAUAGCAAAGAAUGUGAUAAUAAUAUAUUUAACGUUGUAUGGAGAUGCAGUACUUGAUGCGCUCCCAUGGAUCCGCUGCCCCUCUUUGUUUCUGAUUAUUGUUCUUCUCAUAUACUAUCAAAUUUCCAUGGAUGGGAUCUGAUGAAUGAGUAUCCCGUGUCUGCGGCAACUCGCAUGGCCUGAUCUGGAAGUACGCGUGUGCUGCAGGCAUUGCUUCCACAACUCUUCCAAGGACAUUGGCUUCAUCAAGGUAUGAGCCACCCCACUAUUUAUUGAUUUCCUUAAUCAUGUGCCUGAUUUUGAUGACUGCUGAGUAGUAAUAUGUUACCCCAUGCUUUGCUUUGAACAAUAUAUAUGCUUUGUCUACAAGGCCUCUUGGUAUGCCGCACCAAUUUUAAUUUGUUCGAGACUACCAUCUGGUAGUGUGAGUUAUUAAAUAAUGUAAUGUAAUGUAUGACAUAUUGGAUUCACUUAUUCAGAAUAGAUCUAUGUAUUGCCCUCCUCAUUCCCGGAGUAAACCCAGUUAAGUUCUGCAAUCAUCACCUCAUGUUCUGCCUUGCAUUAUUUUGUAUCUGUUUGAACAAUAUGUGUAAUUUCUACGCACCAUAAGUCAACUUGGAAUGGACCGAGUUGUGCAUGACUACAUGAUAGCUUUGUUUGUUUGUUAUCCCCACCUAUAUAAGUCUUACUCUGCUGCAUCUAUCUCCAGUCUCGGCUAUUUUACUAACUGUCAACUACCAAGUUUUUCCUGAGCAUACCAGUCCAUUUCAAAGCACAACAAAUUGAGUGUAUUGCAAUUGCUCAAAUAUUUAUUAAGUAGGUAUAUAUACAUUGUAUAUAUUUUUUUUAGAAAAGGAGGAUGACCCCCGGCCUCUGCAUCUGGGAGAUGCAUACGGCCACUUUAUUAAUUAUUCUCACAAGACCUUACAAAGUAAUACAACAGUAAG